CCUACGGGGGGCAGCAGUGGGGAAUAUUGGACAAUGGGCGAAAGCCUGAUCCAGCCAUGCCGCGUGUGUGAAGAAGGCCUUCGGGUUGUAAAGCACUUUCAGUGGGGAAGAAAGCCUUGGGGCUAAUACCCUCGAGGAAGGACAUCACCCACAGAAGAAGCACCGGCUAACUCCGUGCCAGCAGCCGCGGUAAUACGGAGGGUGCGAGCGUUAAUCGGAAUUACUGGGCGUAAAGCGCGCGUAGGCGGUCUGAUAAGCCGGUUGUGAAAGCCCCGGGCUCAACCUGGGAACGGCAUCCGGAACUGUCAGGCUAGAGGGCAGGAGAGGAAGGUAGAAUUCCCGGUGUAGCGGUGAAAUGCGUAGAGAUCGGGAGGAAUACCAGUGGCGAAGGCGGCCUUCUGGACUGACACUGACGCUGAGGUGCGAAAGCGUGGGUAGCAAACAGGAUUAGAUACCCGGGUAGUC
rnacentral:rRNA from 1 species